AUCCCUCCUCUUUAGCCUUUAUAUGCCCAAAUUUGUCUUAGUGUGUUUGUACCUCCUGACGAAGCCUACGUGGCGAAACACGUGUUGAGGUCGAAGCAGUGGGGGAACCGUGUCACCAUUUUUCAGCAGCAACAUGGUAAUAAAGAAAUUUGCA